ensembl:lncRNA
GCCGAGGAAGGCAGAGGGGCGGGGCCCGCGGCUGUGGAGACCGCAGGGAGGGUCCGCUGGAGCCCGGCGCCGGCCUCAUGGGGGGCGCGUCCCGCAUUUUUUUACCUACUUUGGUGCGAUUCCCGCCAGCCUCCAAUGAUUGGCCCAGCCCCGGCACGUCAGGCCCUCGGGCGAGGGGUAAAGUCUGCGCAUUUUUCCUCCUUCCCAAGGCGACUGUGGCAGCCCUGAGUUCUCUGAGUCACCGCUAAUUUCAGAUUUAGGCAUUGGAAGGACUGACGCUGAAACUGAAACUCCAAUACCUUGGCUGCCUGAUGCGAAGAACCGACUCUUGGAAAAGACCCUGAUGCUGGGAAAGAUUGAAGGCAGGAGGAGAGGGGGACGACAGAGCAUGAAAUAGUUGGAUGGCAUCACCAAUGUGAUGGACAUGAGUUUGAGUAGGUGCCGGGAGUUGGUGAUGGACAGGGAAGCCUGGCGUGCUGCAGUCCAUGGGGUUGCAAAGAGUUGGACACAACUGAGCAGCUGAACUGAAACGGAUGCAUUCAAGGCUGGGAUGAGAUGCUGUGUCCUCAGACAAACCGCAAUACUCUUGGGAGUGAAAGAGGGAGCCACCUAUACUCACACUGUGAUAGAGGGGGUAAAUGUGGAUGGUCUCAGGUGAACUGGGAGGCACAGUGACCCUUGUUCUGUAAGUGACUAUUCCCCUUUACCAUACUGGGGCCAGAUGGGUUUGCUGGCUGAGCUCCUACCACCCACAGCUGCUUCAUCUGGCCACCGUCCUGCCCUUGGCUAUGCCCAGCCACCUUGAAGUCAAGACAUCUCUUGUUCAAAUUUACCUGGAGUAACUUUCAGGUCUCCUGUCAUGAUGAAGAUUGGUUGGUUGCCUGGCUGUGCAGGAUAGAGUGUGAGAUCUGAAAUGCUAACUGCUCCCGUGCAGACUCUCAGGCAACCCUCUUGUGUUUCAGCUCUACUGUGACAGAGAUGAACAAACCUGAUUCCAUGUUGGGUCUGUUCCUCUAGCCGUAACCAUUGUGCCCUGUCACCUGUGCUAACUUCUCCGGGGUCUGCACCUUCUGUCAAAGCGUGCUGCCUAUAGUCUGGAAUGUACUUGAAAGUCCUUUCUCAGAGCUCUGACCUUUAAAGGGGUAACACUUUUCCAUUUGUAUAGAGAUAAAAAGUUGCAGAAUAGAGAAUAACACUUGUCUUAUUGGAGGUUUAUAGGAACAUUGUGACCAGAUGUACCUGGACAGCUGCUGGAACAAAGGAUUCCUGCACCAAGAAGUCUGCAACAACCAGCCACACCCCCCUCCCUUCUUAGUAUAAAAAUGGCCUGAAUUCUAACUCAAAGAAGAUGGUUCUUUGGGACACAAGUCCACCAUCUUCUCAGUCUCUGUUCCUUGCCCUGACAACUCAUCUCUCCAGUUAUUGACCUGUCAUGUGGCAAGGAGUACGAACUUGGACUGGCAAACACUACCCUUCACCUCCAUCUUCUCCUGUAUCUGCUACGUAGGAUUCCUAAAAUUUUCUGAGAUCCUCUUGCGUGAACCAGCUUUCUUCUCCCACCCCCGGAGACAGUCCCGGAGACAGUUGGGUUUCAGCUUUCUCCACAGCACCACAUCA